CCUACAGGGGGCUGCAGUGGGGAAUAUUGGACAAUGGGGGGAACCCUGAUCCAGCCAUGCCGCGUGUGUGAAGAAGGCCCUCGGGUUGUAAAGCACUUUCAGUGAGGAAGAACGCCUGGUGGUUAAUACCCAUCAGGAAAGACAUCACUCACAGAAGAAGCACCGGCUAACUCCGUGCCAGCAGCCGCGGUAAUACGGAGGGUGCGAGCGUUAAUCGGAAUUACUGGGCGUAAAGCGCGCGUAGGUGGCUUGAUAAGCCGGUUGUGAAAGCCCCGGGCUCAACCUGGGAACGGCAUCCGGAACUGUCAAGCUAGAGUGCAGGAGAGGAAGGUAGAAUUCCCGGUGUAGCGGUGAAAUGCGUAGAGAUCGGGAGGAAUACCAGUGGCGAAGGCGGCCUUCUGGACUGACACUGACACUGAGGUGCGAAAGCGUGGGUAGCAAACAGGAUUAGAUACCCUGGUAGUC
rnacentral:rRNA from 1 species